rnacentral:rRNA from 1 species
GAGUUUGAUCCUGGCUCAGGACGAAUGCUGGCGGCGCGCCUAACACAUGCAAGUCGAACGAGCGAGAGAGAGCUUGCUUUCUCAAGCGAGUGGCGAACGGGUGAGUAACGCGUGAGGAACCUGCCUCAAAGAGGGGGACAACAGUUGGAAACGACUGCUAAUACCGCAUAAGCCCACAGCUCGGCAUCGAGCAGAGGGAAAAGGAGCAAUCCGCUUUGAGAUGGCCUCGCGUCCGAUUAGCUAGUUGGUGAGGUAAUGGCCCACCAAGGCGACGAUCGGUAGCCGGACUGAGAGGUUGAACGGCCACAUUGGGACUGAGACACGGCCCAGACUCCUACGGGAGGCAGCAGUGGGGAAUAUUGCACAAUGGGGGAAACCCUGAUGCAGCGACGCCGCGUGGAGGAAGAAGGUCUUCGGAAUGUAAACUCCUGUUGUUGAGGAAGAUAAUGACGGUACUCAACAAGGAAGUGACGGCUAACUACGUGCCAGCAGCCGCGGUAAAACGUAGGUCACAAGCGUUGUCCGGAAUUACUGGGUGUAAAGGGAGCGCAGGCGGGAAGACAAGUUGGAAGUGAAAUCUAUGGGCUCAACCCAUAAACUGCUUUCAAAACUGUCUUUCUUGAGUAGUGCAGAGGUAGGCGGAAUUCCCGGUGUAGCGGUGGAAUGCGUAGAUAUCGGGAGGAACACCAGUGGCGAAGGCGGCCUACUGGGCACCAACUGACGCUGAGGCUCGAAAGUGUGGGUAGCAAACAGGAUUAGAUACCCUGGUAGUCCACACCGUAAACGAUGAUUACUAGGUGUUGGAGGAUUGACCCCUUCAGUGCCGCAGUUAACACAAUAAGUAAUCCACCUGGGGAGUACGACCGCAAGGUUGAAACUCAAAGGAAUUGACGGGGGCCCGCACAAGCAGUGGAGUAUGUGGUUUAAUUCGACGCAACGCGAAGAACCUUACCAAGUCUUGACAUCCAGCGACGCACAUAGAAAUAUGUGUUUCCUUCGGGACGCAGAGACAGGUGGUGCAUGGUUGUCGUCAGCUCGUGUCGUGAGAUGUUGGGUUAAGUCCCGCAACGAGCGCAACCCUUACUGUCAGUUACUACGCAAGAGGACUCUGGCAGGACUGCCGUUGACAAAACGGAGGAAGGUGGGGAUGACGUCAAAUCAUCAUGCCCUUUAUGACUUGGGCUACACACGUACUACAAUGGCGUUAAACAAAGAGAAGCAAGACCGCGAGGUGGAGCAAAACUCAGAAACAACGUCCCAGUUCGGACUGCAGGCUGCAACUCGCCCGCACGAAGUCGGAAUUGCUAGUAAUCGUGGAUCAGCAUGCCACGGUGAAUACGUUCCCGGGCCUUGUACACACCGCCCGUC